CUAAAUAUAGGGAUAUACACUGAAAAUCACAAGCAGCCGUUUCUUUACAAUAGAGACCUAACGCCUAAGACUAGACAGAAGGGGCCAUUUCUGAUCUUAAAAAUCACACACACCUUCAUCUUCUUCAGGGAAUAAUGCAAUAACAACGCCUAUACCAAAGAGAUCAGCGGCAAAAAUAAAAGAAGGAGGCCAGACCUCAUCUUCUUGUUCACCUUCUCAACCAUGGACACAAGAAACCUAGCAAAAAAUCUUCAACACUCUUGAACCUCUUCGAGAUGACCAGCCGCGACACAUAGAAGAGCCCAUCACCGGACUUCUUUGUUCACCACACAUCUGCCAUCUCCGGUAAAGCUUCACCUCACACACCCUCACCCUUCUCCUACACGCCCUGAACUAAGAGAACCACAUGAAACCAUUGGAGCCACUGCUGCUUCUUCACUCGUGAACACACACAGCAGCAGUCGAUAUCCUCACUCCCACCAGCCGAGAAAUAACUCCAAAUCAGGAGUUACUGUCAUGGAGUUUGUUGGGUCUAUUUUCUGAUUUAGUCUAAGUUUUCCGGUGAGCGUCGAGGUUGUCGUUAAUCCUUGUUGCCGACUUACGACGAGGUUGUUUGUUCAAGCUUUAAUUCUGAGAUUCGAGGUUGCUUGUAGCAAUGAAGGUUCAUUCUUUACCCUAUUUCAUCUCCAGUUCAUUUUACUAGCUUAGUAAAUAAUUUUGGGUAAGACUUUUCCGUGAUGUUUUGAUCCUCAACUGAAUUAAUUCAUUUGGUUAUUUGGAGUUAUAUGACUGUUUUGACUUUCUUAUAAGACUUUGCUGAAAUAUUUAUAUAUAUUCAUGAUAAUAAUCUCAUGUCGGUUUGGUUCAAUUAGGUGCCUUAUGAAAUUGUUAAGUUAGUCUUUAUAGUCGGUGUAAGUGAGAGUUGCAUCUUCAGAAUAUAAGUAUUAGAGACAAAAUAAACGGAAUUGGCUUCAAAAUCUUUUACUGUUUCGAUUCAUUAAUCAAGAUUUGGCUAUCGUUUAGUGUAAGCUUGUUGUAAAAAAUGAGCUUUGGAAUAAUAGGUUUGGGGUUUAAAAGUUGAAUAAUUCAUGAACUUUGUAGUUUGCUUUAGGCGAUUAAUAAUGAUUAUCAUGGCUACGGGUACGAUUCCCAUGACGUAGUUGUGAUUUGUAAUUGCUAAAAUUCGGGUGCAUAUUUAUGUGACCCAAAUCCGAAUCUCAACAAUGUUAUAUAAAAUGUGUUGUCGACUGCAGGUGCAUUUAUGUGACGUGAUUCAAGACAUAUUUUAAAUAACGUUGCAAUCUUCCUAAAAAUGAAUAAAAGCGGUUGAUAAGUUAAAAUUGAACNNNNNNNNNNNNNNNNNNNNNNNNNUUCCUCGAUUCGGGAUUUGAACUGGUGAUUUGGAACACCAUAAAUUAUCCCAAGUGGCGACUCUGAAUCUUUAAAUGAAAUAAUCCCGUUUCGAUUGUCCUUUAAUUGGAAAAACUCCCUUAUAUACUCCCUUCCGUGGGUGUAGGAAAAAGGAGGUGUGACAGUGUGUAGAUUGCAAAGAUCUAAACAAGGCAUGCCCUAAAUAUUCUUUCUCGUUGCCUAACAUCGAUCGGAUGAUCGAUGCGAUGACCAGGCAUGAGAUACUCAGUUUUCUCGAUGCCUAUUCGGGGUACAACCAAAUUCGAAUGGACCCCGAAGUUCAAGAAAAGACUUCGUUCAUCACUAAAUUUUGCACUUACUGUUAUAAUGUAAUGCCUUUUGGAUUAAAGGAUGCCGAUGCCACCUAACAAUGCCUAGUAAACUAGAUGUUAGAAGAACAGAUAGGUAAAACAAUGGAAGUUUAUAUUGACGACAUGUUAGUCAUGUACCUGCGAGCAGAGGACCAUUUGAAGCAAUUGCAGGAGACUUUCGACAUAUUGCAUAUAUACAAUAUGAAACUGAACUCAGAAAAGUGCGCAUUCGGGGUCGAAUCAGGAAAAUUCCUCGAGUUCAUGUUAUCCAAUUGAGGAAUCGAGAUCAACCCCGACAAAAUCAAAGCCAUAGAGGACAUCACCAUGGUGGACAACAUCUAGAUUUUCCAAAGACUGACCGGGCGAAGAGCUGUCUUACGCCAUUUCAUCUCGAGGUCAUCAGACAAAAACCAUCGAUUCUUCUCACUAUUAAAAAAGGAAGAAUAAUUUCUCCUAGAAGUAUUCAAAGAGUACCUAUCGAGUCCGCCCCAGUUGCUCACUCCGAAGGAAGAUGAACUGUUGUACCUCUACUUGGCGGUUUUCGAGGUAGCAGUAAGUGGAGUCUUAGUUUGGGAGGAAGAAGGUAUGCAAUUCCCUAUUUACUAUGUUAGUAGAACUCUAGGAGAGGCCGAAUCAAGGUAUCCUCACCUGGAAAAAUUAGCGCUCACUUUGCUAAGCGCCUCCAGGAAGCUAAAGUGGUACUUUCAAUGCCACCCCAUAUGUAUCGUUAUUUCUUACCCACUAAGGAACAUCAUGCACAAGCCCGAGCUCUAGGUCCGGUUAGCCAAAUAGGCAGUGGAAAUUAGCGGGUACGAUAUCGAGUAUCUACCCCAAACCGCCAUAAAAUCUAAGAUUUUGGCAGACUUCAUGGCUGACUUUAUGCCAACCUUAGUACCUGAAGUCGAAAGGGAACUAUUGUUAACCUCGGGGAUCACUUCGGGAAUGUGGACCCUUUUCACGAACGGUGCCUCGAAUGCGAAGGGUUCCGGGAUCGGGAUCGUAUUGAAACGACCUACAGGGAAUAUAAUUAGGCAGUCUAUUAGAACUGUAAAAUUGACUAAUAAUGAGGUCGAGUGUGAGGCCAUGAUUGCAGUUCUUGAACUGGCUAAAAGCCGUAAGGUCGACGUGAUCGAAGCUAAAUGGGACGUUUGAAGUAAAGGAAGAUCGGAUGCGAAGUACUUGGUCAAAUUAUAGGUGACCUUGCAUCGAUUCAGGGAAUGGAUCCUAUAGCACGUACCUCAAGAUCAAAACAACGAGGCCGAUACACUAGCUAACUUGGGGUCAUCGGUCGAUGCUGAUGAAUUUAGUUCGGGAACAAAUAGUACAUCUAAUGAAAUUAGUGAUAGAGGAGGGCCAUACCGAAGUAAACUCAAUGAGUUUAACUUGGGAUUGGAGGAACAAAUACAUAGACUACCUGAAAACCAGAAAAUUGCCUUCAGAUCCUAAAUAAUCGAGAGCCUUGCGCAUCAAGGCUACUAGAUUUAAAUUGGUUGAAGGGGCAUUGUUCAGGAGAACCUUCGAUGGCCCGCUAUCUUGAUUCUUGGGUUUGGAGAGACCGAAUACGCCAUGAGGGAAGUUCACGAAGGCACUUAUAGUAACAAUUCAGUGGUAGAAUCUUUGGUUCGGAACUAAUUAGGCCGGCUAUUGUUGGACCUAAAUGGAGAAAGAUGCGAAGGACUUCGUAUGGAAAUUUGACGAUUGCCAAAGACACGCCCCGAUGAUUCAUCAACCGAGAGAAAUGCUCCACUCAAUUUUGUCCCCGUGGCCAUUUAUGAAGUAGAGGAUGGACAUCGUCGGCCCUCUUCCAUGGGCACCUGGUAAAGUUCAAUCAUAUUAUUCAUGACCGAUUAUUUUUUUCAAUUGGGUCGAGGCUCAAGCAUUCAAAAAGGUCCGGGAGAAAGAAGUCAUUGACUUCAUCUGGGACCACAUAAUAUGUCAAUUUAGGAUACCGACAAAGAUCAUUUGCGAUAAUAGAAAGCAAUUCGUCGGUAUCAAGGUGAAUAAAUAUUUCGAAGAUCACAGGAUCAAGAAGAUUUUAUCAACGCCUUAUCACCCUAGUGGGAACGGACAUGUAGAAUCAAAGAACAAGACCAUACUUUAAAACCUGAAAAAGAGGUUUACCGGGGAGAAAGGGAAAUGGAAGGAGAUCCUGCCUAAAGUCUUGUGGGCGUACCAUUUGACUUCAAAGUCUAGUACCAGAGCCACCCUAUUUUCCUUGGUCUACGGAACCAAAGCCUUGAUACCAGUCGAGGUGGAGAGACAAGCCUAAAGUUCCAGUAUGCGAUCGAAGAGCCAAUGACGAGGCCAUGAUCACGAACCUAAAACUAUUGGAUGAAAGGUAGGAGGCCGCCCUGGUCCGUUUAGCCGCCCAAAAAUAAUGAAUAGAAAGGUAUUACAACUGAAGAACCAGCCUGCAACACUUUCACGUCGAGGACGUGGUAUUGAGGAAAGUAAAAUUACACACUACGAACCCGAACGAAGGAAAGCUGGGACCGAACUAGGAAGGAUCGUAUCGAGUUGUCGGAAUAACCAGCAAAGGCACGUAUAAACUCGAAGCGGGAAAUGGCGUACAACUACCGAAUAAUUAGAAUGUGGCACACUUAAAGCGACACUACUGCUAAGGUACGAACUCAAUUAUUUUUUUAGUCAUGUUAUAAAUCGGACUAAUAUAUGCAGGUAAUCGGACAAGGACGGAUGUGGCUAUUAUGUUUGAAAACACGUGUUACACUCUUUUUCCCUUGAACCAGUUUUGUCCCGAAGUAGAUUUUUCGGUAAGGUUUUUAACGAGGCAACAAUAAAAUGUGCUAACUUUGAUUUGAAGAUCGGUUUCAAACCGAAGUCAAUGAUCGUUUGCUUCAGGUCAACAUUAUCCGAGCCCUCACGAGUUUGAGCUCGAAUACUUGGGGCCAUUACCCUCGGAUUAAGGUAUUUAGCAAGGAAAGAAGAAAACUUAAUGUGCUAUAAGCUAAGGCUUGGCGGUUAGAAUUCAUUGUAAGGGAAAAACGAUCGUAUGAACCAUGUCCACAUAGUCCGCUCUAGCCAUGGAACAAGUUUUUAUCCUCUUUCAAUCAUGCACCUUGCAUACCAAGAAAUGAAUGAAAUUUCCACUUCCCUUAUGAUUUUUCAUUACGCGUUUGUUUCUUCGAUUCUGGAUCGUAAAAGCUCACGGGCUACCCCUACCUGGGGACUAUCGAACCUACGGGCUACCCCUACUCAAGGACUGUCGCCCGAUGAAAGUUCGGGCAGCCCAGGCUGCCGAAUCCCAAAGGUACCAAAUCUAUUAGGCGGUGCCUAAAUAUAAAAGGCUACAACCACCCUAAAAAUGGCUUAGAGAUGUUCGAAGUCCGAAACCAGAAAGUACGGUCUUUACGAAUAUUCGAAACCUACUUAAAGGUUAUCAUCAGCAAAAACAUCAUCUAAAACACUUAAGUAUCUUGAAAACCCCAAGUCACACCGAGGGUUCGAAGCCACAAGCAAACAAAGUUGUGCCGAAGUCGGGCUUCAUUCAAUCCUCCGAAAAACGAAUGCCCCAGAACUAUAUCUGGUUACGCUAAGGCAUCAAAAAUAAUACACAAAUAGAAAUUGCAAGAAAAUGCUGGAAAAAUAAAGACACGUUAUUGCCAAAAAGGGAAAGUUUUUAUACAUUCCAAAAUAUAUUUACAAGGGCCCGAUAAAACAGCCUCGGGAUAAAUGAAAAAAUAUAUACAUGAGAAAAACUGGAAAAAUACUAAGGCACCAACAACUAGUCUUCACCAGGGCCAGACUUGUUGCCAGAACAAUCAAAGCUCUCAGAGCCCUCGAAACCUCCAGAACCUUCGGGACACCCAGGCUCGUAUAGUUCCAUCGCCUCAGCCUCAAGCUCCCUAGCUUCUUCAACCUCGUUUGAUAGUUCAAAACCUCGGGCAUGAAUCUAUUCGAGGGUCUCUCUUUGGGACAACUGCUUCUUGUACUCAGUCUUUAUUUUUAAGUGGGUCUCGGCUGCCUCCACAUUGGCCUUGUACUGAGCCACCAUUUCCUUGGCAUCAUCAGAGAUUGUGUCCAAUUUGGACCAUAGUGCUACAUAUUCUCUUCCGAGAGCAUCCUAUUCCGUGACGGCCAAGCUCAGUUGUGCCUGGAGAUCAUCGUUCAACCUAGACCAUUUAUCGGCUUUGUCCUUCGCCACCCGAAGUUGGUUCUCGACCAAUGCUAGCUCCGCCAUCGUAGCUUCCUUUUUCGAGGCCAGGAGGUCCAUCCUACCCUUCCACACUUUGGUCUGGGCCUUGACCUUGUCCAUCUCAGCCCGCAGCUGGUCGAUCAGGUCUAUCUUCUAUUGGACCUGCAAAGUUGUGUUGUUAGUCACCAUGAAUAGUUGCUCGUUUUUAGCUUCAAAGACUUUUACCUUCUCAACAAAGUCAGCAUGUUCCCGCUUUAGGGUCGAGGCCUCCUUCUGAGCUUUUUCCAGCUUAGCUUGGAGAAACAGGAGGUCUUUAAGGGCCUCGUCUUGUUGCUCACUAAGAGCCUUGUACAUGUCCUUCUUCCGGACCUACUCUAUGAGCUCGAACUCGAGCUGGAUGAUUUCCAAGUGGUACUAGAGGAAGCUUUCAUGAUGAAGCAAUGAAGCCUGUAAAAUGAUGAAAUUAGUAAGAGACAUCAAAGGAAAACCUUAUGGGAUUCAUAAAGGGGUAGAGAAGUGUUAGCGCCCCAUACCAGGUUCAGCGCCUAUUGCGCCUCAUUGAAAAGAAUUGACGUGCCCACCUCAUUUAUCUUUGCCUGGUACUCCUCAAUCACCAGGCAUCAAAGGUAGUUGGAUAUGCCCACGGGAGCAGACAUGACCCGAGCAUCCUCCGAAAUUGUGAGAACGACCGUUCUCUUACGCCCUGUCACACCUUCUUUUUUUCCUACACCCCGGAAGAGGUGUUUAAUAAGGGAGUUUUUUCCAACUUAAAGUGACAAUCGAAAAGGGAUUAUUUAUUUAAGAAUCAGAGUCGCCACUUGGGAUAAUUUAUGGUGUCCCAAGUCACCGGUUCAAAUCCCGAAUCAAGGAAAAGAUUGACUCUGUAUAUCAGUCUGCGAACGCAGAAAUCCGGGUAAGGAAUUUUGUUAACCCGAGAGAAGGUAUUAGGCAUUCCCGAGUUCCGUAGUUCUAGAACGGUCGCUCAACCUUUAUAAUCGGUCUAUUAUCUGAUUUUAAUACAUGUUUUAACCUAUGGUUCAAUUUUAACUUUAUAACCGCUUUAAUUAAUUAUUAGGAAGAUUCAACAUUAUUUAAAAUACGUCUUGAACCACGUCACAUGAAAUGCACCCGCGGUCCACAACACAUUUUGUUUAACGUUGUUGAGAUUUGGAUUUGGGUCACAUGAAAUGCAUACCCAAGUUUAAGGAAAUUAAUUUAAAUUGUGUGCCUAAAGCAAUUACGCACUUUCAAGUUUGCGAGGGCCAUGGAAAAUUUACUAAUGGCACACCUCGAUUUCUAAAGAGUUAAACUUAAUUAAGUGAGGGCCCUUACCCAGACGCAUUCAAGCUUGGGCUCACAAUGAACCCAAUCUGUUAGUGAAAAAGAACGUCUAAGUACGUGUAACGGGCUGCCAAGUCUGACAUUGAUCCUUCCACAAUUGGGCCAAUACUAAGCCCAAUUCUUAGAACCAGCACUUGUGCACAAUCAAUUAACCUUUAACCAGUCGAUACUACGUGAAAACAAGAAAUUAGAUUAAUCAAAGAAUUCUGAAUUUUAAUCAUUUGGCACAAGUUAACCAACUAAAGCUUCCAACACAUUCUUUUGGGGUUUAAUCUGUUAUGAAAAAAAAUCCAGCAACAAACGAACAAGCUGAUGGGCUCCCAAAAUGAGCCCAAACAGCAUUGAUGUCCUGUUCUUUCCUGCACAUGGCCCAAACGCCCAAUGCCUAAAGAAUUCCAAAACUCUCCAAGCCAAGGCUAAGAGACAGACUGCAUUAUCGAGUUUACACUAGGGCAUACUACCAUUUGCAUCCAAAGAGAAGCUUACUAAAUUAUCAUUGCACAUCAAUGGAGACAUAAAACAAUUUCAGAGGAUACUAAAAGUUUAUGCUUGACUUUAACUACCUGACAUUCAUGUUUGAAUUCAGUCUUAAACUAAACUUAUAAGACAAAACUCGAACUUAAACUCAAUUAAUUACUUUCUCAAUAUCAGUAGUAACGGACUCUAGGAGAUUAAGCACUGUUCACUUAAGUAGAAUCAACAUCCCAAAUUCUUAAAGAGCACAGGAUUAUUUUUUACGACAUGCUAUUGACAUAGGACAACAGAGGUAGCAUACGUAAUCCAAGGCUUGUUACAAGACAUCAAAGAAUAUAGAAGAAGCAGAUGAAAUAAGAAAUCAAAAGGACUUGUAUUCAAUCAGGCUUCAGCUCAACAUACAUCUCCCUAAUCACUUGUUGACAAUGGUUUGGAAAAAUACCUGGAUAAGUAAAAAAAUAAGAGCAGAAUAUAAAACUGGAGAUCAAAGGAAAGUAGCAACAAUAGAAACCAGCAGUGUAACAGUGCAGGAACCCAGGUUUAAACAAUAAAACAGUAACACCCAAACAGCAACACUUAAAACAAGCUUCUGAAUAUCCAAAAUUCAAUCCAUUUCAACCUAAUUGCAUGAUUUUGUUAUUUUCAAUAGUGUUAAUCAAGCAAUGAAGAUCAGCAACCCAGAAACCAGACCAAUUUCGAGUAGUUUUUAACAAGGGAAUGUAAGGAGUUCAAAAGUAUUUCAGAACUUUCCAAAGAAGGAAGCCGUUUCAGUUUUUUACGAUCUUUUUCUCUAAAUUUUUCCUUUUUUUUCAAUCUCAGGUAAUGAUGCCUUUAUAGGCAAGCUAUUAGGGUAGCAAUGCUGAAAAUAAUUUUUCAUUUUACACCUUUUGAAAUUUUUGUUUUAGCUUGGAUACCCUUAGCUUAAAACUCAGAAUUUCACAUAAGUUCCCACCCCAGCUUCCAAGAAACUUCCUAUUCAGUUAUUGGAGAUUCCCUUCACCUAGAGUUCCUAAAUUACCCUUACAACCCCUGUUAUUUACCAUUCAAUUAACUUGGGUUAAGUUAGACCACAGUCAAAAUAAACCAGCCUCUUAAACUAGGUCAGUGGUGACCAUGGUUACUAUGAGGGGCUUGAAUACUCAGAAAUGAUUAAACGAAACCAUAAAAAAGAACAAAUCCAACACUGAAGGGUAAACCAUCCUGAUUUUAGGCUUGAGCUAAUUUUAGCUAAUCAAAACUAAGAAUUGAACUUCACUAUUAAAGCUAAUCAGUCAAAUCAAAGCAAAAAAAAAAGAACAAAUAAAACUGAACCAAAUGAAAAAUAGGAAAUACUACAGUGCAUAAAAUUGAUGAGAGAAAGGAAGGGGAAAAAAAAUACCAAACAUGCUGGAAUGCCUUGACAACAUGAGGCGUGUCGAUGGGGAGUUGACAAUUGGCUUGGAACUUUGAUGAACUUGUCGAACUCUGCCCUUCCCGGAAUGAAUUAAAAUCAAUGUCGGUUGAUUGUUCUCAUUAAGAACAAUCAAAUAGCAUAGAUCAUAAUUCAAAACGAAGAUAGGCCUUGACCGGAAUCAGAAGAAGAAAGAGAUUAGGGAUCAAAUAUUCUUAGAUUUGGGGCUGGGAAGGUUUUGUUGGGGUUUUCCAGAAACAAGCGUGUGGACAAGCUUUGGGACGGUUUGGGCUUUACCUGGUAUGGGUGAGUUGAGGUUUGAAGGUCCAAGAUUCGAUCAAAAAUUCGACGAGCUCUACGGUGAUUCAAUGGAAACAAAUGACGGAUUCUUUAUAAGGGGAAGAGAGGAUGCUAUGGUGUAAAUCUGGUGUUGAUUGGAGGUCAACCGCCGCCGCUGGCGAUUUUCGGUGGGCGGCGGACGGUGGUGAGAGGAGGGUGUGAUGAAGAAGAUGAUACUAAGUUAAUGUUCUAAGGUUUUCGGACAUUCUUAUGUGAUUAUGGUGAGGCUUUGCUGGCCGUUCGAUGAAGAGGAAUGAAAGGCUCAGAUUGAUUUGUCCUCAAGAAACUCAAAACAACGUAGUAUUGGCCUGAUACUACGUCGUUUGAAUUGUUUAGGAGUUUGAAGGUUGGACUGGGUUGGGGCAUGGUUUGGGCAGGUUUUGGACGGGUUUAAAGGCAGAAAAUUUGGGCUUUUUAAAUGGUUUUAGCCCAAAUCAGAUUUCCCUUUUUUUUGUUUUUCCCUUUUCUUUCAAUUUCUUUCAAAUUAAAAUUAAAAAAUAACCUAAAUUAAUUCCUAAUCCUAUUAUGCUAUCAAAUUACAUUAACUAACUCUAAAUAACAAUUAUCACAAAUGAUUAAAAAAGACCAAAUUAAAAGAAAACUACCAAAAUUCAAAGUGCAAAAUAAACUAUUUUUGUGACUUUUCCCACUUUUAUAAAAUAACUAAUUUACCACCUAAAAAUGUAAAAUUAAAUACUACAUGCAAAUGCAACAUAUUUUUUGUAUUUUUCAUUAAUUAAAUAAAUAUGCACAAACAAAUGCAAACAAUUAACGAAAAAUGCCACAAAAAUCCACGAAAUUGCAAACAACGGAAAAAAUUAUUUUGUUUUAAAUUUGUGGGAGUAAUUCAUAUAGGGCAAAAAUUAUGUGCUCACAGCUGCCCCUCCCCUCUUUGCUCGGAAACACGAAGAGUUUUCGUGCAAAGAUAAAGUGAGCAUAUACGAGUGAUUUUUGCCCGUUUGAAUACUCCGUGAGAAGCAAUUUUGAAAGAUUUGACCGUACCCUGCUUCCGAGGUUGCCUACAUAUUCUUGGCUAUAAAGGAAUCAGGUCGGUGUAGUUCGGGGAGUUUCGGUAGCUAGGACUACUAUGAAGCUGUGAUUUCACUGUUGCUGUUGUUGCUGCUACUGCUCACUGAACUCCUUAUUACACCUUGUCAAAAUAAAAAGAAGCUAGACUAGACUAUGAUCUAUGCAUUACAAGAAUCCUAUCUAUAUCUUCGAACUUGCUCUUGUGGUUCUUGUUGCCUUGUUGACUUGUAUUCUCCCGGUGAAAUCCCUUUGUUGCCAACCUGAAUUGUAAUCUGAGAUGUUUUCCCUUUCUCCAGGUGGAUGCCUGACUGCUGAACUUGAAUUAUAUUCCUGUGCUCUCUAGGUGGGUGCCUGACUGCUGAACUUGAAUUGUAUACCCGUGCUCUCCAGGUGGGUGCCUAACUGUUGAACUUGAAUUGUAUUCCCGUGCUCUCUAGGUGGGCGCCUGACUGCUGAACUUGAAUUGUAUUCCCGUGCUCUCUAGGUGGGUGACUGAUUGCUGAACUUGAGAUGUAUUCCCGUGCUCUCCAGGUGGGCGCCUGACUGCUGAGCUUGAAUUCUAUUCCCGUGCUCUCCAGGUGGGCGCAUGACUGCUAAACUUGAAUUGUAUUCCCAUGCUCUCUAGGUGGGCGCCUGACUGUUGAACUUGAAUUGUAUUCCAGUGCUCUUCAGGUGGGCGCCUGACUGUUGAGCUUGAACUGCUUCUCCCUGUUCUCCAAGUGGGUACCUGAUUUCAACAAAA
rnacentral:lncRNA from 1 species